rnacentral:tRNA from 3 species
GGGGCCGUAGCUCAGUUGGGAGAGCGCUUGCAUGGCAUGCAAGAGGUCGUCGGUUCGAUCCCGUCCGGCUCCA